GCUGGCGGCGUGCUUAACACAUGCAAGUCGAGGGGCAGCAGCAUCUAUCUUCGGAUAGAUGGCUGGCGACCGGCGGACGGGUGAGUAACACGUAGCUACUUGCCCUCCAGUGGGGGAUAACCCGGGGAAACUCGGGCUAAUACCGCAUAUACCCGAGAGGGGAAAGCCGUAAGGCGCUGGAGGAUAGGGCUGCGGCCUAUCAGGUAGUUGGUGGGGUAACGGCCUACCAAGCCUAUGACGGGUAGCUGGUCUGAGAGGAUGAUCAGCCACACUGGCACUGAGACACGGGCCAGACUCCUACGGGAGGCAGCAGUGGGGAAUCUUGGGCAAUGGGCGAAAGCCUGACCCAGCAACGCCGCGUGGAGGAAGAAGCCCUUCGGGGUGUAAACUCCUUUUCUGGGGGAAGAGAGAGACGGUACCCCAGGAAUAAGCUCCGGCUAACUCCGUGCCAGCAGCCGCGGUAAUAUCGGGGGGAGCGAGCGUUACUCGGAAUUACUGGGCGUAAAGGGUGCGUAGGCGGCUUGGUAAGUUGGGGGUGAAAGCCUACGGCUCAACCGUAGGAUUGCUUCCAAAACUGCCAGGCUAGAGUCCGGGAGGGGCCGAGGGAAUUCCCGGUGUAGGGGUGAAAUCCGUAGAGAUCGGGAGGAAUGCCGAAAGCGAAGGCGCUCGGCUGGAACGGUACUGACGCUGAGGCACGAAAGCGUGGGGAGCAAACAGGAUUAGAUACCUGGUAGUCCACGCCCUAAACGAUGGCUACUAGUGGUUGGGGGGAUAGUCCCUCAGUCACGCAGCUAACGCGAUAAGUAGCCGCCUGGGGAGUACGGCCGCAAGGCUAAAACUCAAAG
rnacentral:rRNA from 1 species